rnacentral:rRNA from 1 species
UACGUAGGCAGCGAGCGUUGUUCGGAUUCAUUGGGCGUAAAGGGUGCGUAGGCGGCGCGGUAAGUCGGGUGUGAAAUCUCGGGGCUUAACUCCGAAACUGCAUUCGAUACUGCCGUGCUUGAGGACUGGAGAGGAGACUGGAAUUUACGGUGUAGCGGUGAAAUGCGUAGAUAUCGUAAGGAAGACCAGUGGCGAAGGCGGGUCUCUGGACAGUUCCUGACGCUGAGGCACGAAGGUCAGGGGAGCAAACGGGG